rnacentral:rRNA from 1 species
UUAUCCUACGGGAGGUAGCAGUGGGGAAUAUUGGGCAAUGGGCGCAAGCCUGACCCAGCGACGCCGCGUGAGGGAAGACGGUCUUCGGAUUGUAAACCUCUUUCAGCAGGGAAGACAAAAGGACGGUACCUGCAGAAGAAGCCACGGCUAACUACGUGCCAGCAGCCGCGGUAAUACGUAGGUGGCAAGCGUUAUCCGGAAUUACUGGGUGUAAAGGGAGUGUAGGCGGGGCUGCAAGUCAGAUGUGAAAAUUAUGGGCUCCACCC